UGAAAUUUCAGCAAGAGGGGAAAAGAGAGAGCGCGUGAGAGAGAGAGAGAGAGAGAGAGACAGCAGAGCAGUCCCAGGCUUCCUCAUCUCGUUCACGUCAGAGGCAGGAACCGACUGUGCUAAGGCUGUGGGCUCAACACGCAGAGACAGACAGGAGCGGACCCAGGAGAGGAAGAGCCGGGGGUCCUCCCUGACCCGACCAGUUACCACUGGUGGAGCAAGCCGCCUGACUUUUUGGUCUUAUUUGGGCUGCCUCCGCUUCCCCUUCCACUCGCAGCCCUGCCGGCUCGGAUCUCGUUCCUGUCUUGGAGCCUGCUCCCUUCCUCUCGGGGAAGGAGGAAGGGAAGAGAAGCGAGCGAGGUGGGCUCUAGGUGAGCGCAUCAGCCGGCUCAGCCGAACACGCAGGAAUCCUUCCCAGGGAGCCGCUCUGCUCCAGCCGGCACCGGCCCGGACAUUUUCCUAGACUCCAAAACCUCGGAGUGGCCUGUGGCUGCUGGCUG
rnacentral:lncRNA from 1 species